AUUGAACGCUGGCGGCAGGCCUAACACAUGCAAGUCGAACGAGUGGCGGACGGGUGAGUAAUGUCUGGGAAACUGCCUGAUGGAGGGGGAUAACUACUGGAAACGGUAGCUAAUACCGCAUACCAUCAGAUGUGCCCAGAUGGGAUUAGCUAGUUGGUGGGGUAACGGCUCACCAAGGCGACGAUCCCUAGCUGGUCUGAGAGGAUGACCAGCAACACUGGAACUGAGACACGGUCCAGACUCCGACGGGAGGCAGCAUUGGGGAAGAUUGCACAAUGGGUGCAAGCCUUAACCAGCCAUUCCGCGUGUAUGAAGAAGGCCUUCGGGUUGUAAAGUACUUUCAGCGUGGAGGCGUUACCCGCAGAAGAAGCACCGGCUAACUCCUUGCCAGCAGCCGCGGUAAUAC
rnacentral:rRNA from 1 species